rnacentral:rRNA from 1 species
GACGAACGCUGGCGGCGUGCCUAAUACAUGCAAGUCGAGCGCAGGAAAUCGACGGAACCCUUCGGGGGGAAGUCGACGGAAUGAGCGGCGGACGGGUGAGUAACACGUAAAGAACCUGCCCUCAGGUCUGGGAUAACCACGAGAAAUCGGGGCUAAUAUCGGAUGGGUCAUCGGACCGCAUGGUCCGAGGAUGAAAGGCGCUUCGGCGUCGCCUGGGGAUGGCUUUGCGGUGCAUUAGCUAGUUGGUGGGGUAAUGGCCCACCAAGGCGACGAUGCAUAGCCGACCUGGGGGGGUGAUCGGCCACACUGGGACUGAGACACGGCCCAGACUCCUACGGGAGGCAGCAGUAGGGAAUCUUCCACAAUGGACGAAAGUCUGAUGGAGCAACGCCGCGUGAACGAUGAAGGCCUUCGGGUCGUAAAGUUCUGUUGUAAGGGAAGAACAAGUGCCGCAGGCAAUGGCGGCACCUUGACGGUACCUUGCGAGAAAGCCACGGCUAACUACGUGCCAGCAGCCGCCGUAA